GGCACCUCCUGACCAGGUGAGUGCAUGAUGCGCGCAGCGAGUGAGAUCCAUGCUGAUGCAAAUGACACACAGAGUCAGAGGCCUGAAAGACUGCUGAUAUUUAAUGUAGCACAGCAUAGUCUAAGAUCAUGUUGAUGCUGUAGGACAGCUGUCAGUAUAAACUGCCCUCACGCACACACAGGAUGAGACUGCAGUUAACAGUUACCGUCUCCUUGCAGACCCGCAUCAAGGUUUCCACACAUCCCCACCUCACACACCACAAACCGGGGCCCCGUUCUCCGCGUGUGGACGCCUCAAGUCGUUCAAGGUUAGCUGAUAAUUUGAUACGAGACCUGGACUGUUUCGGUUCUUUGAAGCCAGAGUUGUGGAAUCCCACUUUUGCACUCAUUUUCUGAUCCAAAUGUCUUAAUAAAAUCCAUAACUGCAUCUUUAAUCUUAACUGUAUCUACGCAUGACAAAAAACCCAAAAAGAACGCACAACCCAUUAAAAGAUAGACAUCAGAAUGACAAUGUAUCUUCUUAAACACUAAAAAUCCUAAAUUAACCUGCAGAACUAUUUGAAAGCUACUGUGCUGAUUGGAGUUCCGGCUCCAGCUCCACGCACUGAGAACUUCAUCCGAGGUUAUCAGUCCUCAGAAUGCUUUCAGAUGAAAUUAACUGUGCGACAAUUUGCUCUGUUUUAGCCUGAUAGCAGCAUGUAGCUGGUUUUAGUCACCCCACACGUGUGAAGAACAGGGCCCGGGUCAGCAAAGCUUCAAAACAGUAAUCUGUAGUGGGUCAUGAGCCCGUGUGCACAUACGGUGGGUAUGAUGGUGACGAUGGAUCAGAUCUGUUCCUCACAUUGCUCCUCAUUAGCUGCUCUGUGUGCACUGGUAGCCUUCAAUCCAACCCGUGCGCGCCUCCGUGUUGAUCAACACUACUGCAAAGUAAGAGCACGGCCUUAUGAUCGGCGGCAGGUGUGCAAGGACCAACAUCUCAAGUGAGUUUGACUCAACUUCAGUGGGUUUUUGUUCUUAAUGAUAACUACACAUUACACACGGUAACAGGAGGCUAGCUAAUCAGACUAUAAAGGGAACAGCAGCAUGUUUCUCUGCGUGGCCCUCUCAGACUCCGUGUCACAACAUUCAGACAAUGCCGGAGUGAAUUUAGCAUAACUGAAUCUCUGCUUUAUUCACGCUCCUAUUUAGCCACAUCACUUUAAAUUCAGUUUGCCACAGACCAGGAUGAUUACAGGUCAUCUGCUCCACGAGGAAGCUGAAGGCUUAUUUGAUUUCCAGACCUUUCCUUUCAUUUUUUAGUGUCCGAAAGCUGAUUUAGAAGGAAACUCAAAUUUUAAAAAAGAAACUUUUGCAAACACCCAGACAUGUCACUGUAGGUAGUAAUCAGACAACGAGUUCACUUGUUCUUAAAGAGGAACUAUCAUGCUCACUUUUAGCACUGCAUUUUUAUUCUUGGACUCUGCUAGAGAGGCGACGGAAGACUCGCAGCUCAAAAUAAUCCUCAUCUUAAACUAGACUCAAGUUUCCCCCAAGAAACAGAAGAUCUGAGCAGCAGGUGGGUGGGGACGCCCCUCUCUGUGACAUCAUACAGAGCCAAGAAAAGAAAAACUGCCUGAAAGUGAUCAUUUAAAGCAGUCAGACACCUGCCUCAUGUGUAUAUACACAUGGAUCGUUAGUUGAAACUCGUUGCUAUGUUUAUUAUUCCAUAAUUUUAACACUACAUAAAUAUGACAGAAUAAAGGAAAAGCAUAACAAGUCUACUCUGAUGCAACCUGUUAGAAAAAGAAGAGGUGGCUACAAAGCUCUGCUAAUUAACGCUUUAGAUGACGCAGUCUUCUCUGAAAGUCUGAGUGAAAUUCUUUAACAUAUAAAUUCGCUGCAUUAGGUCAUUCAUUCCUCGUGAUUAUUGUAGGUUUUUUUCCUUCAUGAUUGUCAAUUUAGACGUUUGUCUCUUCGAAAGCUUAAAGCCUCAUGAGUAUGAAGCGAUGCAAAGCGAUGAUGGUGACCUGGCACUGCUAAUCCUCGGCACGCACACCUGCCACCACAAAUUAAAGCCGUGUUCUUACGGAGAACACCACAGAUGUUUACGAGUAGUGUUAAUUGGCACAAGAAGCUAUCAGCGCACAUAAAACCCUCAGAUGUUUGAGCGGGCGGGCACAGUGUUUGCAGGGACUCCUGACUGGGCAGCACAAAGUGAGGAACAGGAAAAGCAGAUACUCAUUUGUCAGUUUAGUUCUCAUGUGGGCCGAUGGUUCCCAGCAACGUCACGUCAGACAGAGAAAACAAGGGGGGCAGCAAGAACCAGUCCAUCUAUGUUGUUCCUCCACUGUUAGCUUCCAACACACGAGCAGUUUAUACACACACGCACAGACACACAAACAGGCUCGCACACAGAUUACGUGCGGUGAGGGGUAACGUGCUUCCUUACAAUCGCGGCUACAGCAUUAACAAACUUAGAGAAUGCCAGAUCGAUUACUUUUUCAGCUUAACUGUAUCGCAUCCAUCUGCACAGGCAUACGUGGACACACACGCAGACACGAGCACACACUCUCACUGCCCCGCCCCUCCCCCCCCCACCCGAAUGUUCACAAAGCGCGUCUAAAAUCAAAUUAUAGAUCUCCCCUAAACAAACCCCACACAUUCCAUUGGAAUUCACGUGGAUUUCAUAAUUCUUCCACUUUUUUUUUCUUCUUUAAAACCGCCCCGACCUUCCUGCACACAACCGUCGACCUUGUGUACUUGUAAUCCCUCCGAAACCUAAACCCUCCC
ensembl:lncRNA